rnacentral:rRNA from 1 species
AGUGAACGCUGGCGGUAGGCCUAACACAUGCAAGUCGAACGGCAGCACAGCAAUAGCUUGCUCUUACGGGUGGCGAGUGGCGGAAGGGGGAGGAAUACUUCGGAAUCUACUUAUUCGUGGGGGAUAACGUAGGGAAACUUACGCUAAUACCGCAUACGACCUACGGGGGAAAGCAGGGGAUGUUCGGACCUGGCGCGAUUGUAUGAGCCGAUGUCGGAUUAGCUAGUUGGCGGGGUAAAGGCCCACCAAGGCGACGAUCCGUAGCUGGUCUGAGAGCAUCAUCCGCCACACUGUAGCUGAGACACGGCCCAGACACCUACGCGAGGCCGCAGCGGGGACUACUGGGCGAUGGGGCAAAGCCUGAUCCAGCCCUACCGCGUGAGUGAAGAAGCCCUUCUGCUUGGAGAGCCCUUUUGUUGGGAAAGAAAAGCAGCAGGUUAACACCCCGCUGUUCUGACGGUACCCAAAGAAUAAGCACCGGCUAACUUCGUG